AUUGAACGCUGGCGGCAGGCCUAACACAUGCAAGUCGAACGGUAACAGGAAGCAGCUUGCUGCUUCGCUGACGAGUGGCGGACGGGUGAGUAAUGUCUGGGAAACUGCCUGAUGGAGGGGGAUAACUACUGGAAACGGUAGCUAAUACCGCAUAACGUCGCAAGACCAAAGAGGGGGACCUUAGGGCCUCUUGCAAUCGGAUGUGCCCAGAUGGGGUUAGCUAGUAGGUGGGGUAACGGCUCACCUAGGCGACGAUCCCUAGCUGGUCUGAGAGGAUGACCAGCCACACUGGAACUGAGACACGGUCCAGACUCCUACGGGAGGCAGCAGUGGGGAAUAUUGCACAAUGGGCGCAAGCCUGAUGCAGCCAUGCCGCGUGUAUGAAGAAGGCCUUCGGGUUGUAAAGUACUUUCAGCGGGGAGGAAGGGAGUAAAGUUAAUACCUUUGCUCAUUGACGUUACCCGCAGAAGAAGCACCGGCGAACUCCGU
rnacentral:rRNA from 1 species